CCUCUGUAUAAACAAAGGAAAAAUUUCUACUGUAAAUCACCCAAACAAGUGAUAUCCCAGAGGAAGAAAGAAAACAGUGAGGGAGGAAGAUGCCAUCCAAGGGGAAAACAUGUCAGGUUGUGCACAUUAGAUCUGGUCAUUCGCAAGUGACCUCUCUGGGAAGGCAAAGGAUAGCAGAGAUUGAAAAGGAGGCUAUAAAAUUGAGAGCCUAAGCAAAGCACUUGACAGAGGGAAGAACAUGUAACCAGUGGACUCCUUGUUCUCCCAGCACUGCCCUCACAGCCCAAAGAAUUUCUGAACAAAGAGAACAAGAUUCAAGUUUAAAACCAAGACCUCUGCUUCCAUUUCUGUGUUUUCCUUCCCUCCCAU
rnacentral:lncRNA from 1 species